rnacentral:rRNA from 1 species
UAACUUGGGAGUCAGAACAUGGGUGAUAAGGUCCGUGUUCGAAAGGGAAACAGCCCAGACCACCAGCUAAGGUCCCAAAAUAUAUGUUAAGUGGAAAAGGAUGUGGCGUUGCCCAGACAACUAGGAUGUUGGCUUAGAAGCAGCCAUCAUUUAAAGAGUGCGUAAUAGCUCACUAGUCGAGUGACACUGCGCCGAAAAUGUACCGGGGCUAAACAUAUUACCGAAGCUGUGGAUUGUCCUUUGGACAAUGGUAGGAGAGCGUUCUAAGGGCGUUGAAGCAUGAUCGUAAGGACAUGUGGAGCGCUUAGAAGUGAGAAUGCCGGUGUGAGUAGCGAAAGACGGGUGAGAAUCCCGUCCACCGAUUGACUAAGGUUUCCAGAGGAAGGCUCGUCCGCUCUGGGUUAGUCGGGUCCUAAGCUGAGGCCGACAGGCGUAGGCGAUGGAUAACAGGUUGAUAUUCCUGUACCACCUAUAAUCGUUUUAAUCGAUGGGGGGACGCAGUAGGAUAGGCGAAGCGUGCGAUUGGAUUGCACGUCUAAGCAGUAAGGCUGAGUAUUAGGCAAAUCCGGUACUCGUUAAGGCUGAGC